CGCGGGGUGGAGCAGUGGUAGCUCGCCGGGCUCAUAACCCGGAGGUCGUAGGUUCGAGUCCUUCCCCCGCAACCA
rnacentral:tRNA from 1 species